UUUUCAGUUUUAAUAUCUCGUGAUGAAUUAUUCACAUGACUAUCAUAAGCUUGGUAGAGAAACAAAUUACUGCCUACGAAUGUCUAAAAUUAUGACACAUGUAGCGUAAGUAUGUUUCAGAAUAGGAAAUUAACAUUGCAGUGAAGAGUUGCUAACGAAGAGUCAGAUUGUGUUGACAAGCAGGACACGACAGUGAAUAAAAUCUAGAGAGAACUGGAUGAGGUUGUCAGUAACACAGGAGGGCAGGAUGACAUUUUGUGAUUAAGCUCUGCUGUUGUUAUGGAAGAUAGCAUCUCAGUAGCAGAUGAAGACAUUAUAUCUUUCUAACGAAAUUAAUACUAGAAUGUUAUGAAAGAUGCAUCAUUUCUGUCCAAGACAACUUUCCCAGUUGAGAAAGAAUACAGAAGCAUGGGACAUAAACUCCGAUAUCAAAAUUCAAUCUAAUUAAAAGAACAAAAACCAAAGUUGUUUGUUGAUGAGGUAGCACUCCUUGAUGCUGCGGCUCUCGGUUCUGAUCGAGACUGAGUUUGACUUCUGCUUCUUGAAGCUG